CAUACAUUAUGCUUAUAGAUGAGCUUGAUCUUCUUGUCACAAGAAAUCAAUUGGUUCUAUACAAUAUAUUUGAUUGGCUGACUAGAGCCCAUUCUUAGUUGAUACUCAUUGGUAAACAAAUUUCAAACUAUUACUUGCACUUACUACAAAGAUCAUAAUAAAAGCACUGUAUUUAAUUUGAAUUGCUGAGAUGUUGAUUGUAAUUUGGAAUUUAUAAUAGGUAUAGUAAACACAAUGGAUUCGCUAGAGAAAUUGCUUCCACGUAUAGAAAGUCAUAUGGGAAUGAUAAGAUUGUGCUUUGGCCCUUAUUAUUAUCAGCAACCGCAGGAGAUUAUUUCUAGUCAUCUAAAUGGAAUUGAGGCAUUUGAAAAAUAGGUUGUUGAGUUUGUUUUAUGGAAGGUUGCAGUAGUUUUUGGAGAUGCUCAUUGAGAAUUGGACCUAUGUAGACAUGUUGCAGAGCUUGCAAAAUUCAGAGUUCAACAGUUGGAAACUCCUCAAUUUUCUAUCCCGUUGCAGAUUAUCUCCCCCUUUGUGGAUGUUGGGGAUCCUCCUCUUGUGAGCUCGAGCUCUUGAUUUUUGGCUUCUUGACUGUUGGGUUGAUUGGGUCUUUGUUUUGGGCUACAUCUACAUGGUUGAUGCUUUUUGUUCUCAAUUGUUACUUGUAUUGGGGUUGGUAAUGAUCUUCAUGUAUUCGACUUCUAUAUGUAUUGGGGAACUUUUUGUAUCUUGACUUGUGGGGCCUCUCAUAUGUAAUGGGUUUUUUGGAAUUUUGGGUAGCAUUAGGAUUUUCUUUUUAUGGGCCACAUUCAGAGGUUUUCUUUUGGAUUCUUUCCUACCAGUAUACCCUUUUGAA